rnacentral:miRNA from 1 species
CAGUCAGGCUCCUGGCUAAAUUCCAGCUCUGAGCUGGAUUAGGCAAAGCCUGAGUGUAA